ensembl:lncRNA
GAGUCUGACUAGAGGAGGAGUGUAGAGCAGAGCUUUGCUCAGGACUCUUACAGUGGAGAUCAGUCUCCACAUGUACGGACACUCUGUAUGGCCCUGGUGCCCUGCACGCUUGGCUGUGAGGAUCACCACAGCCAUGGCCCCAACAGUGCCAGUCUUGGUUUAUUUCAACUCGGAGAGUGCUAGUCUCCCGGACUUAAUUAACCUUUCCAUAAUGCCUGUCUGGAGAUAAUCACAAAUAAGCAGACUUGGGUGAGUUUACCGUCAUAAGAAAACGCCAUGCUUACAAAUCAGAGAUUCAUAGACAUGUCCAUUUAAAGAGAUAUCAAAAUGCAAUUGUCUAGGGACAGCGCAACACGUCCUCUCUCAUUUUAAGUCAUCCAGUGAAUUUCACACGCAGUUGCCAAUAUGACAUGCACUCUCAUCUUAGAAACCCAUAACCCGGCAAUAAAGGCUCCAGCUAAGGACUACUAGAGAAAACAGCUCUUUGUAAAAACAUCCAUUUGCAUUUAGUUCAGACAACUGGCUUCUGGCUUUUAAUGUGGCCUCUAAUGCAAUUAGUUUCUGGCAGUCACAGUGAUGAAAAAUCGCAACAUCUCCGCAGACAUGAGAGGAGCAGCAGAGGCCGAUUGCAAUCACGGCCUCAUGUUGUGAGCCACCACACGAAACAACAGCCCAAUGAUUCAUGCGGAAAAUUAACUCUAUUAUGUAGCCGUUGCACUGACCCUGACAAUUUUCUGUAUUUCUCAUUAUGUCAGUGACUUGAUAUGAUACACUCAUUCCACAGGAUGAGCACCAUUUAACAGGGUAAACCCUUUGAUGUGUGGAUCAUACUUGGCUAAGGUAACAAUUUGCUGGCGAGAGGACAAAUCUUGUCAACAGAAUCUAAUGGCUAAGGUGCACACACACAGAAGACCCAAGGUCGUGUAAACAAAAUACACUAUGGCACAAUUCAAAGUCUGUUUUCUCAAGAGUAUGUGUGAGCCUGGGCAAAUUAUCCCCGUGAGCGGAGUGUGAAACAAGAGACGUGCGAUAUCACAGCAGUGAGGAAAGGCGUGUCACCAAUACUUACUGGCAGGCUAUUAUGUUAGCCGCUGGUUUUCUUUCUCACUUUCUCCUGGUCAUCUCAUCAAUGGACCAGCUGGAGGGAUUCCUGGCAGAGUGAUUUGGAAUUAUAUCAUAAAAUCACAUUGCCAGGGAUUUCCAACCAGCUGUGAACUGUUUACUCCAUGAAAGUCUCAGUGAGUCGACCCCGCUUACACUCUGAUGGAUGAAGCCAUCAAAUCCAAAUCGAAGAGAACGGACCAAACCCUUUUUCCCACCAUGUCCCGAGGACUGAAUAAUCUACCCUCAGAAUGAACCAUAACUGAGGACUGAUACGCACUGAAAUAGAAAGCUCAUAUCUGUAGGUUCCACAUAUGUUUUGUUUUGCCACUUUUUGUUCAUUACAUAAACACUGGAUCUCGUCUUGUGGUUUUGGGAAACUGGAAACAUGAUACUAGGCUACUGUGCCAUACAGACAUAUGUGGUCCAACGUGCCAUACUGCUUUGUUAAAUAACUGGAUGUGUGAGGAAAAAUGUGUUAAUAGGUUCGUUAAGUAGAGGAUGUAGUGUUAUAUAUAUAUAUAUGAAUUUAUCUGAAAUAAAAAUAAACAGAUUCAAGAACACAUUGAGAAUUUUGAAUGUCUUAGACCUGAACAAUUUAACUGUUUAAUGAUGUAACCUAAUGUAUUCUGUUUUUUUCCCCCACUUAUAUUAUAUGAUUUAUUUUAAAAAGAGAACAUUUUACUGGUGUUUCUUUAUCUUUGGACACUUUUGAGUAUGGUUACUUUUAGAAAAUUGACACUUUUCACACUCACAUUAAUCACGCCUUUUUUCCCUUCACAUUUUCUACAUUUUUUCCCCAAACUUUUAAAAUUUCUAUUGUUGAUAAUUUAUACUCUAACAUGUAUUUAAAUGCCUAAUAGAAGAAUGCUGUUAUUUUUUCCCCAGAAGAUCACAGUGCCAUUUUCACAAUACCACAGAUUAUACUUUGUGUUUACAUUUGCAUACAUUUAUUUAGCACACAUUUUUAUCAAAUUUUUUUUUAAACUUUAUUUUGUUAAUACACUGAUUUUUGUUGUCGAAUUUGAUGAUAAUUGGGGCAAUGUUUUGGAGAACAUAUGGAUUUUAUGUCUGAAGACGUUUUGUGAGGUGCAGGACUUAGCUCACUCUGUGAACAGAUCUCGCAUAUCCUAUGUUCACAGUGGCUAAGUUCCGCUCCUCUGAGGCCCACACUCAAAAUCAGCCAAGAGGUGAAAACAUAAAUAUCACGGCUGGCCAUGCUAUAGCAAACCGGAAAAAGGACACAAGUCUGAUCCAGAGGAACUACGGGAAAUGACCCGCAAGGGAAAGAAGUCACAGUGUAAUCCUGAGACCCACCCUUCCGGUCAGACAGGGUGGUCUGGUCAAGAUGGCGUUAAGCCAGAGCACUAUUCAACAUAAAUGAAUGAAGAAAAGACAGUGCUGAACUUCCACCCCCUUACAUUUCUGUCAGUCAAUGUACAAUAUAAACUGUAAAAAAAAAAAGAAGGAAGAAAAAAGUACUGGUAAUUUUCUGCCAGAAUAUUAUCCAUUAAUUUUAAGAACAUCUCCAUUAACCAUAAAACACAUUGCAAUGAAGUGCAAAAUGCAAAAUUCAAAAUCUGAGUAAAGAUUUCAAUAUGGAAACAAUUCCUUAAUUUUAAUAAAGUUCAUUGUGCCCAAUUUUUACAUAUUUUUACAAAAUAGAAGCAUUUUAUAACUGGAGGGCUGAUACUUUUGGACACCACUGUCCACUAUUUUCUUUUGUGCUUUUAUUUUGUGUGUGUGUGUUUCAGUUUAAAUAUUUAUGAAUUUGUGAAAUGAAAAUUUUUACCUAUUUGUGACCAAACAGCUGCGGAUGGACGGAUAUUUAAGGUACAUUUGACGUUUACAUACUGACUAUUUUCACGCCCAAGCACAUCUUUUUUUUCCCUGUUAUUUAUUGCGCCAAUACUUGACUCUAAUGCAAUACUUUCAAUGAUUUACAUCCUUAAUAAAUCUGCUAUCCAGCUCUGAUCAUAAUAUGGACUUAUGAUCAAUCAGAAGGGAAACAUGGAGCUUUGUAGAGAACCUUGAAACUGGCAAAGGCCAGGAUGAGGUACAGCACUGGGUUCAACCUCCUGUGCCUACUGAGCUGAUAACAGUUGAUGUAUUUAGCACUGGCUCAGUUCAGCAGGAACCGGAGUUAAGCCCCUUAAGACCAAGAGCGCUUUCGAAGACUCUGCGGCUUACAGAAAAUGCAGUCUUCUGUACAGAUCAUACUCCUCAGAACAAUUUUCAUUAUCCGCCAAGAUCUACAAGACUAUGGAGGAAAGCUGCUCCUGUAAUUUGAGCUUUAACCAAAUAAUAGGAGCAGAGGUUUUCCAGAUACAUUUCCAACUGGAUCAUCUGUGCCAGGCAAAAUGUAAUAAUUCAGCUAAAUGACUCCUAAUAUGUCAGUCUCACUCUGUUCAAGAACUCGAUCAUGUUUCACUUCCACGAGGGAAUGAGUGUCAUAAACUGAAAGAAAGGGGAAAAAAAUUACAGAAAUAAUAAAAUAACCUUUUAAACUGCCAUUCGCUUCCAUUUAUUUGUUGUAUGAAUUCAUGCAAAAGGUGUCAAAUAAGAAAAUCACCACUCUCUUUUCUUUCAAAUGAGCCUUGGCGUUGCAGAAAGACUUUAUUUCCAAAGUUUCAUAACAGAUCAAUUGAUGAGAUGUGAAGAGGGACAUUAGGGUUUACAGAGCACACAGAUUUAUUGCAGCUGUGGACCCUCCACAAUAACAUAAUAAGCGUUUCAACGGCUCGCGUGUGACGAGAUCAUCUCCGCUUCAUCCUCUCACGCUCGGAAAGGGAGCAGCGACAGAUGUCUCUUUGUUAGAGAGAUAUAUAGUUUGUGAGCUUAAGCCAAACUUUGUGUCAGGAAGAGGUAAAAGACUGUCACAACUAUCCGUAGCUGAACCCUGAAAUGUAAAUCUAUUUGUUGCUUUUUCCCUGCUCUAAGCAUCUCACCAGCCUGAAGUCAAUUAAGCGGUUGUCGAGGGGUUGCGGUAGACUGUGUGCCGUGUUACCGGAUGAAAUUGGUUUCAGAUACACAACACUAGCACAGGAUCGAAAGGCAGAUCUUUCUGAAGGAAGGUAGAAAGCGUGUAAUCACACUCCGAAGCUGUUAUAUUGAGCACACAAUUUAGUUUAAUACAAUUUAAAAUAACAUUUGUACUUGUAUAUAUUUUAAAAUGUAAUUUAGUCCUGUUAUGGCAAAGCUGAAUGUUCAGCAACCAUUAAUCCAGUCUUCAGUGAUCCUUUAACAAUCAAUGCUGAUCAAGAAACAGUUGUUAGUAUUAUCACAGUUGAAAGCAAUUAUCUUGCUUAAUAUUUUUGUAGAUAC